AACGAACGCUGGCGGCAUGCCUAACACAUGCAAGUCGAACGAGACCUUCGGGUCUAGUGGCGCACGGGUGCGUAACGCGUGGGAACCUGCCCUUAGGUUCGGAAUAACUCCCCGAAAGGGGUGCUAAUACCGGAUAAUGUCUUCGGACCAAAGAUUUAUCGCCUUUGGAUGGGCCCGCGUUGGAUUAGCUAGUUGGUAGGGUAAAAGCCUACCAAGGCGACGAUCCAUAGCUGGUCUGAGAGGAUGAUCAGCCACACUGGGACUGAGACACGGCCCAGACUCCUACGGGAGGCAGCAGUCGGGAAUAUUGGACAAUGGGCGAAAGCCUGAUCCAGCAAUGCCGCGUGAGUGAUGAAGGCCUUAGGGUUGUAAAGCUCUUUUACCCGGGAUGAUAAUGACAGUACCGGGAGAAUAAGCUCCGGCUAACUCCGUG
rnacentral:rRNA from 1 species